UACGUAGGGUGCGAGCGUUGUCCGGAAUUAUUGGGCGUAAAGAGCUCGUAGGCGGUCUGUCGCGUCGAUCGUGAAAACUUGGGGCUUAACCCUGAGCUUGCGGUCGAUACGGGCAUGACUGGAGUUCGGCAGGGGAGACUGGAAUUCCUGGUGUAGCGGUGAAAUGCACAGAUAUCAGGAGGAACACCGGUGGCGAAGGCGGGUCUCUGGGCCGAUACUGACGCUGAGGAGCGAAAGCGUGGGGAGCGAACAGG
rnacentral:rRNA from 1 species